rnacentral:rRNA from 1 species
CUACGGGUGGCACCAGUGGGGAAUAUUGGACAAUGGGGGAAACCCUGAUCCAGCAAUGCCGCGUGUGUGAAGAAGGCCUGCGGGUUGUAAAGCACUUUCGGUUGGGAGGACUGCUUCUAGCACUAAUAUUGUUGGAAGUUGACGUUACCUUCAGCAGAAGCACCGGCUAACUCCGUGCCAGCAGCCGCGGUAAUACGGAGGGUGCAAGCGUGAAUCGGAAUUACUGGGCGUAAAGCGCGCGUAGGCGGCUAGAUCAGUCGGGUGUGAAAGCCCCGGGCUUAACCUGGGAACUGCGUCCGAUACUGUCUAGCUUGAGUACAGGAGAGGAGAGUGGAAUUCCACGUGUAGCGGUGAAAUGCGUAGAUAUGUGGAGGAACACCAAUGGCGAAGGCAGCUCUCUGGCCUGAUACUGACGCUGAGGUGCGAAAGCGUGGGGAGCAAACAGGAUUAGAUACCCUAGUAGUC